rnacentral:rRNA from 1 species
CCUACGGGUGGCAGCAGUGGGGAAUAUUGGACAAUGGGCGAAAGCCUGAUCCAGCCAUGCCGCGUGUGUGAAGAAGGCCUUCGGGUUGUAAAGCACUUUCAGUGGGGAAGAAAGCCUUGGGGCUAAUACCCUCGAGGAAGGACAUCACCCACAGAAGAAGCACCGGCUAACUCCGUGCCAGCAGCCGCGGUAAUACGGAGGGUGCGAGCGUUAAUCGGAAUUACUGGGCGUAAAGCGCGCGUAGGCGGUCUGAUAAGCCGGUUGUGAAAGCCCCGGGCUCAACCUGGGAACGGCAUCCGGAACUGUCAGGCUAGAGUGCAGGAGAGGAAGGUAGAAUUCCCGGUGUAGCGGUGAAAUGCGUAGAGAUCGGGAGGAAUACCAGUGGCGAAGGCGGCCUUCUGGAUUGACACUGACGCUGAGGUGCGAAAGCGUGGGUAGCAAACAGGAUUAGAUACCCCAGUAGUC